rnacentral:tRNA from 1 species
ACCAAAAUAGUUCAGCUAGGAGAGCGUUAGACUCUAGAUCGAGGGGUCCCUAGUUCGAUCCCGGGAUUCGGCA